CUCACCAUCCAUUUAUCAGCCAUACCAUCAUGUUCAAGAUCAGUGCUGGAUACCUGCCACUACAUGGUAUAGCAGUCACUGGAGGUGUUAAAACAGCUGCCACUGCAGGCUAUCGCAGUCAUUGCAGGUGUUAUCGUGCUACCAUUACAGUUUAUCGCAGUCAUUGCAGGUGUUAUCGUGCUACCAUUACAGUUUAUCGCAGUCACUGCAGGUGUUAUCGUGCUACCAUUACAGCUUAUAGCAGUCACUGCAGGUGUUAUGCCAGCUGCCAUUACAGCUUAUAGCAGUCACUGCAGGUGUUUUGCCAGCUGGCAUUACAGCUUAUAGCAGUCGCUGCAGGUGUUAUGACAGCUGCCAUUACAGCUUGUAGCAGUCACUACAGGUGUUAUGACAGCUGCCAUUAUAACUAAUAGCAGUCACUGCAGGUGUUAACAUUAUAUUCUACCAUUAUAGCUUAUAGCAGUCACUGCUGGUGUUAUGACAGCUGUCACUACAACUAAAAGCAGUCAUUGCAGAUAUUAUGACAGCUGCCGUUACAGCUUAUAGCAGUCACUGCCGGUGUUAUGACAGCUGCCAUUACAACUAAUAGCAGUCACUGCAGGUGUUAUCAUGCUACCAAUACAGCUUGUAGCAGUCACUACGGGUGUUACGACAGCUGCCAUUACAGCUUAUAGCAGUAACUGCCGGUGUUAUGACAGCUGCCAUUACAGCUUGUAGCAGUCACUAUGGGUGUUAUGACAGCUGCCAUUACAGCUUAUAGCAGUCACUGCAGGUGUUAUCAUUCUACUAUUGCAGCUUAUAGCAGUCGCUGCAGGUGUUAUGACAGCUGCCUUUACAGCUUAUAGCAGUUACUGCAGGUGUCAUUAUUGUACGGUUACAGCUUAUACCAGUUGAUGCAGGUGUUAACAAUACAUUCUACCAUUACAGCUUAUAGCAGUUAUACAGUUAUUGCAGGUGUUAUGACAGCUACCAUUACAGCUUAUAGCAGUCACUGUAGGUAUCAUGACAGUUGCCAUAACAGCUUGUAACAGUUACUACAGGUCUUAUGACAGCCGCCAUUCCAGCUUAUAGCAGUCCAUGUCACAUUUAAUACAACAUUAUGUAGGUUUUAUGAAUACGGAGACAUGUCAAGUCAUUUUACUCCCCCAUGGUGUGCCACAUUGGAACUGGAACAUGCAACCUUCCAGUUACAUGCUUCAUUUUCCAAUUACUUCCAGCACACAUGGGGUUAUAGUGUUACCAUAAAGCUACACGGAUUUUUUUCUGGUCAGACCAGCUCCAGAUGAAUGAAAAUGUGACAGACCGCAAAGCUUUUUGGAGAGUCUGUAACAUAAAUGCUCUGAGACCCUACUCUUAAUGCAACACGAGUGCUGCACACCAGGUACAAUAUCUGCCUGGUAAUUUGAUGCUGCAUUCUUCAGAACAUAUCUCCUUUGACACCAUAAUGAUUCAAUUCAUGUUCCCUUUCGCUCUGACAGUCAAAGCUUUUCUAACAUACAGACCUUCACAGCCAGACACUGACUCAGACAUGCUCUUAAUAAGGAACUUGCCCAGACCCUGUUUCAAAAAUCAUUACCUCAAAGAUGCAAGGAAACUACUGAUGACCCCCUACAAGGGAUAUGAAAGUAUCUUGUGUUAUUGAAUGUCAUGUUACCUUGCAGAAGGGUGCAAGAGUUCACAGCUCUGUAUUGUAAUUUACCAGGGGUCGUAUUUGUUUUUUCCUUGUCUGGUUUUUAUGUUUGCCGACACUGUGGGUUUUGUCUGAAAUCCAGAAGAAAUAUGAGUUGAUCUGCUGCUAUAUAAUCAUCAGUGAUUUGAUAUUGAUUGUUACUUUGAGUAAUAGGGAAUGCAUUGAUGUCUUUAUUAUGGUCUUCCAUCAAAGAAGAUCACAUUUAGAGACUCAAUGAAAACUAGAGUGAUUGAUGAAAGCCAACUCAGUCUGAACAUAUCAAGCCUUCGCUCUUAAUCAGCGAUCGAGCCUUCAUCUUGUAUGUGCAGAAGGCAUGAUGGUUUGAUAAAAACAUGUGUUGAACCUUGAACUAGCCUUUGAUCACCUUAUGGGAUCUCAAGGUCUUCUCCAUAAUGCUCCCAUGACAUGAAUGGCGGUUAGGAGCA